UACCUCAGUAACGGCGAGUGAAGCGGUAAGAGCUCAAAUUUGAAAGCUGGCUCCUUCGGGGUCCGCAUUGUAAUUUGCAGAGGAUGUUUCGGGAGCAGCCCCCAUCUAAGUGUCCUGGAACGGACCGUCAUAGAGGGUGAGAAUCCCGUAUGGGAUGGGGUGUCUGCGCCCAUGUGAAACUCCUUCGACGAGUCGAGUUGUUUGGGAAUGCAGCUCUAAAUGGGUGGUAAAUUUCAUCUAAAGCUAAAUAUUGGCCGGAGACCGAUAGCGCACAAGUAGAGUGAUCGAAAGAUGAAAAGCACUUUGAAAAGAGAGUUAAAAAGCACGUGAAAUUGUUGAAAGGGAAGCGCUUGCGAUCAGACUCGCCUUGGGGGUUCAGCCGGCAUUCGUGCCGGUGUACUUCCCCCAGGGCGGGCCAGCGUCGGUUUGGGUGGCCGGUCAAAGGCCCUUGGAAUGUAACGCCUCUCGGGGCGUCUUAUAGCCAAGGGUGCCAUGCGGCCUACCUGGACCGAGGAACGCGCUUCGGCUCGGACGCUGGCAUAAUGGUCGUAAGCGACCCGUCUUGAAACACGG
rnacentral:rRNA from 1 species